rnacentral:rRNA from 1 species
UACGGAGGGGGCUAGCGUUGCUCGGAAUCACUGGGCGUAAAGGGUGCGUAGGCGGGUCUUUUAAGUCAGGGGUGAAAUCCUGGAGCUCAACUCCAGAACUGCCUUUGAUACUGAAGAUCUUGAGUUCGGGAGAGGUGAGUGGAACUGCGAGUGUAGAGGUGAAAUUCGUAGAUAUUCGCAAGAACACCAGUGGCGAAGGCGGCUCACUGGCCCGAUACUGACGCUGAGGCACGAAAGCGUGGGGAGCAAACAGGG